GAUGAACGCUGGCGGCGUGCCUAAUACAUGCAAGUCGAGCGAACGGACGAGAAGCUUGCUUUUCUGAUGUUAGCGGCGGACGGGUGAGUAACACGUGGAUAACCUACCUAUAAGACUGGGAUAACUUCGGGAAACCGGAUCUAAUACCGGAUAAUAUUUUGCACCGCAUGGUUCAAAAGUGAAAGACGGUCUUGCUGUCACUUCUAGAUGGUUCCGCGCUGCAUUAGCUAGUUGGUAAGGUAACGGCGUACCAAGGCAACGAUGCAUAACCGAGCUGAGAGGGUGAUCGGCCACACUGGAACGGAGACACGGUCCAGACUCCUACGGGAGGCAGCAGUAGGGAAUCGUCCGCAAGGGGCGAAAGACUGACGGAGCAACGCCGCGUGAGUGAUGAAGGUCUUCGGAUCGGAAAACUCUGUUAUUAGGGAAGAACACAUGUGUAAGUAACUGUGCACAUCUUGACGGUACCUAAUCAGAAAGCCACGGCUAACUACGUG
rnacentral:rRNA from 1 species